UUUUUAGUCCUAUUUUUUGCACUAAGUCUUCAGCUUUUAACUCCAGUGUUAUGUUUUUAUCUUUUUAGUCCUAUUUUUUGCACUAAGUCUUCAGCUUUUAACUCCAGUGUUAUGUUUUUAUCUUUUUAGUCCAAUUUUUUUGCACUAAGUCUUCAGCUUUUAACUCCAGUGUUAUGUUUUUAUCUUUUUAGUCCUAUUUUAUGCUCUUACUCUUCAGCUUUUAACUCCAGUGUUUUGUUUAUAUCUUUUUAGUCCUAUUUUAUGCUCUUAGACUUCAGCUUUUAACUCCAGUGUUUUGUUUUUAUCUUUUUAGUCCUAAUUUUUGCUCUUGGUCUUCAGCUUUUAACUCCAGUGUUAUGUUUUUAUCUUUUUAGUCCUAUUUUAUGCUCUUAGUCUUCAGCUUUUGACUCCAGUUGUUAUGUUUUUAUCUUUUUAGUCCUAUUUUUUGCACUAAGUCUUCAGCUUUUAACUCCAGUGUUAUGUUUUUCUCUUUUUAGUCCUAUUUUAUGCUCUUAGUCUUCAGCUUUUAACUCCAGUGUUUUGUUUAUAUCUUUUUAGUCCUAUUUUAUGCUCUUAGACUUCAGCUUUUAACUCCAGUGUUUUGUUUUUAUCUUUUUAGUCCUAAUUUUUGCUCUUGGUCUUCAGCUUUUAACUCCAGUUGUUAUGUUUUUAUCUUUUUAGUCCUAUUUUUUGCACUAAGUCUUCAGCUUUUAACUCCAGUGUUUUGUUUUUAUUUUUUUAGUCCUACUUUUGCUCUUAGUCUUUAGCUUUUAACUCCAGUGUUUUUAAAAAAAAAUCUUUUUAGUCCUAUUUUUUGCUCUUAGUCUUCAGCUUUUAACUCGUGUUUUUUUUUAUCUUUUUAGUCCUAUUUUUUGCUCUUAGUCUAGCUUUUAACUCCAGUGUUUUUAAAAAAAAUCUUUUUAGUCCUAUUUUUUGCUCUUAGUCUUCAGCUUUUAACUCGUGUUUUGUUUUUAUCUUUUCAGUCCUAUUUUUUGCUCUUAGUCUUCAGUUUUUAACUCCAGUUUUUAUCUUUUUAGUCCUAUUUUAUGCUCUUAGUCUUCAGCUUUUAACUCCAGUGUUUCCUCGGGGGGGGCUGUAUCUCAGUAAUGAGAAGCUCCACCAUUCUUGUUAAUUGCUUCAAAAAUAGCUUUAGACAUGCUUGAUGCGAGUGUUUUCCAGGAGGCUAUUAUGGACAUUGAAGGCAUCACCAAGGGUAUCAACUGUCUAGAACUGAUGGUAAGUUUUAUAAACUUCCCUUCCCAUCCAUCCUUCAAUGUUCUCUAAGGGAUUUAAACCUGGGGAACAUGCGGGACGGUCCAAAAAAGAGGGAUGUUAUUCUCCCUGAAGAAGUCUUUGGUCAAGCCAGAAUUCCGAACUGCGUCGUUGUCCUGUUGAAGAACCCGGCAGUUACCACACAGACCAGGACCUUCAGUCAUCAGGAUUGCCCGCUGCAACAUCUGUACAAAACCGUUUGACGACCCUGCACCAUCCGAAGCUCCAUCUCCAUCUCAGAUGGUUCCAGUCGGCACCAGUAAGGGACUUCAUUUGGGUCGAGGACCACCUUGUGUUUUGACGGAACAGCCAAUCGGAUCCUCUGGUUCAGUACAGGUGUCAUUUUUUUUUGGGGGGGGGGGGGUGUAAUGCUUAGGACUUUUCCAAAAAUGUUAAAAGCUUAAAGCUUCUUAGCUUUAGCCAUCAGGAGGUUAUGACCGUGUGAAUGCCUGACAGAAAAUUAGCAUUUUUAGCAGUUUUUUAGCUUUUAUUGCCAUGUGGAAAAACAACCUAUUUCAGUAUAAAUGUUCAAAACGCAUAUUUUAAUUAAAUUCAAUAUUUUAAUUUUUCAACUGGUCUUAAGAUUUGGAUUAAGUCUGUAAAAAAAAUAGUGAUUUUUCAUCCAAAAGGAUGAAAAAAAGGAAGGAUGAGCUCAUGGUCAAAUUUUUAUAAACUAGCCUGAGGUUGGUUCGAUAAGAAAAGAUGUCAUGUGACCACACAGGAAAUCCCGCAGCUCUCUUCCGUCUCAAAGUUGUUGUUGUUGCCCUGACAACCGCCAAACCAGAAGCGGGCGCAGGCAUUGGCUUCCGGGUCGUAGUACCAUCUGGCGACGUAGCGCCGACAGGGACCCGGGUCCAGGGGCAGACGGCAGCUCCCACCUUCAUGCACAAGAGCAAAUGCGAGAACUUUUAUCACUUCCUGUUCUAACUCAUUGGAUAGAAAUGGAACCGCGUCUGAACUGAAAGGAGGAAUUAAUAUAUUAAUAUAUUCAUAAAUGAUGCUGUUUUUGUAGUUCAAUAUGGCUUUUGAUCAUAGUUGGAUGGAUAUUGAGUCAUGGGAGUGUGAAGGUGACUAUAGGGGUGUUAUUUCGUGUCUAGAGGGCUCUAAUUUUAGAAAUCGUAUUCAGAAAAAAAUAAAAA